UACGUAGGGUGCGAGCGUUGUCCGGAAUUAUUGGGCGUAAAGAGCUUGUAGGCGGUUUGUCGCGUCUGCCGUGAAGAUCCGGGGCUCAACCCCGGACUUGCGGUGGGUACGGGCAGACUAGAGUGUGGUAGGGGAGACUGGAAUUCCUGGUGUAGCGGUGAAAUGCGCAGAUAUCAGGAGGAACACCGAUGGCGAAGGCAGGUCUCUGGGCCACUACUGACGCUGAGAAGCGAAAGCGUGGGGAGCGAACAGG
rnacentral:rRNA from 1 species